AACCAUUUCACGAUUUCACGCAACGCUUUCAUUCACCGAAAUCAAUUCAUGCAACGCCUUCAUUCCCAUUUUGAUUCCCUUCAACGCAUUCGUAUGAGAAAUUCUCAAGGUAAUUUUCGUUCUUCAAUGCAAUGCCUUUAUUUCGUUUCGAUUUCUGAAAUUAUUUUUCCCUAUUUCUUCUCUUCUCAAUUUGUUUCCCAAUUUCAUCUCAGAAAUUGUCAAAGUUGAUUUUCACUUUUUCCGAUUUCUUCAUCGUUUAUUCGAUUUUGUCCUCAAUCAACUCCUUCAAUUUCAUCUUCAAUCCGUGUUUAUCUUCAAUCGGAUUUAUCUUACGGUUCAACAAUUUACAAUUUACGAUUUACAAUUUUGUUAUUCAAACUCAUCGAUUCAGAUUCAAAUUCAGAUUCAGAUUCAGCGAUUUAGGGAUUCAUUUUCAGAGAAAGGAUAAUGAAAAAGCAAAAAACAAAUAUGGAGUUUCUCAUCUUCAAGUUGAGGUUUGAUUGAAUGAUUUUGUUGAUUGGGGAGUUUCUCAUAUUCACUUGCAGUUUCUCAUAUUUUGUUUUAACGUUUGUUUUAGAUAGCGUUCAGUUCUGUAACUUUUUUUAGGAGAUGUGACUUGUAUCAUAUAAUAUUGAUAGAGUGAAUCAUAAGAAAUUGUAAUAGUUGGACAAUUUCUAUGCCUCAAAUUUGUGAAAUAGUAAUCUUCUUAGGCAAUUGUAAUACAAAAAUUCCAUGAACGAAUUAAUUUUUUAUCAAUAAGAUUAUAUAAGACUAUUACUACGAUAUUUAAAAGAUAAUAUUUGUUUUUAUAUGUCUUCGAAUCCUGUUUGAUGAUAGAUAGAUACUUGCAUUGCAUUGCUGUUUUAGUGUGGAAAGAGAAUGGUAUAUAGAGAGGUUAAUGAUUCAUAAUAGUAAGUUUUGUUUCAAACUAACAAUGAUAUAUAUUCCUUGAAGUUGCAAAUUGGAUAUGCUGAGCAAACUCUCUUACCUGCAUUAGGCCAAGCUACAUUGUAUACUGAAGAACGUCCCUCCAAUAACUUCCCCACUGCUGCUGGAUUGGCUUCAUCAGCUGCUGGUUUUGCUUGUCUUGGUAAUACACUUUUAUACUGAUUUCUUUAAGCUUUCAUUCAUUCAUUAGUUAUUAUGAGUACCAAAAUAAAUUGGAAUACGUUAGUGGUAAUCGGCUAGUACUUUUGUAGUCUUCCAACAUUUCCCCAUAUUGCAAAACCAUUGGCAGUUUGCACAAUCAAUUCAAUAACAUACAA
rnacentral:lncRNA from 1 species